UACGAAGGGGGCUAGCGUUGCUCGGAAUCACUGGGCGUAAAGCGCACGUAGGCGGCUUUCUAAGUCAGGGGUGAAAUCCUGGAGCUCAACUCCAGAACUGCCUUUGAUACUGGGAGCUCGAGUCCGGAAGAGGUGAGUGGAACUCCGAGUGUAGAGGUGAAAUUCGUAGAUAUUGGGAGGAACACCGGGUGGCGAAGGCGGCCCCCUGGACCGGAACUGACGCUGAGGCGCGAAAGCGUGGGUAGCAAACGGG
rnacentral:rRNA from 1 species